UACGAAGGGGGCUAGCGUUGCUCGGAAUCGACUGGGGCGUAAAGGGUGCGUAGGCGGGUUUUUAAGUCAGGGUGAAAUCCUGGAGCUCAACUCCAGAACUGCCUUUGAUACUGAAGAUCUUUGAGUCCGGGAGAGGUGAGUGGAACUGCGAGUGUAGAGGUGAAAUUCGUAGAUAUUCGCAAGAACACCAGUGGCGAAGGCGGCUCACUGGCCCGGUACUGACGCUGAGGCACGAAAGCGUGGGGAGCAAAGCAGG
rnacentral:rRNA from 1 species